GUGUGCAACAUGAUGGAUCAGUUAUAUAUACACACACACAUACGUACGUGUGUGUGUGUGUGCGUGUGUGUGAAACCACCUCACAGAUGAGUAUAUAGAACUUUCCAACAUUCCCAGUGAUUUCUCUCUUUCUCCUUCCUGGUCCCUAUCCUGCUCACUGAGGUAACCACUACUCUAACUUCUAACAUCAUUGAUUGUUUUUGUCAAUUCUUGAAUUUCAUAUGAAUCAAAUGACAUAUUAUCCAGUUAUACUCUUUCAUGUCUGGAUUUUUCCCUGCUUAACAUGAAGUCUAAGAGAUUCACUCAGGUUGCUAAGGAGAUGUUUCUUCUAUGUCACUAUAGUUACCCAAUUGACUCUGCACACCUUAUUGAAAAGAUCAUCUGUUCCCAAGAACUUGGAAGAUGGAUAUUGUCUCUCCAGGGUUCGAAGACAGUAUCUAGUACCUGUAUCUUCCUUAAGAAGAUCUGGAUGGUGUGAAAUUCAACCCUUGGUCCAGCCUCAAAGAGAGCCAUCCUGAUGCACAAAGGCCUCAACACAGGUAUUACAUGGGUUGCUGCAGGAGGUUCCAGGAUACUAGCUUGCAACUAGAAAACAACUCAGAUCUUCACCCUCCUAACUGCUCCUCCUGCAAGUCCCUAUCAGGGUUCCAGUUAUUAGCUGGCAAGGUGUGCAAGCAUGCAUGGAUUCUGAGUCAUAGCUUUCCUGGAAUGCCUGCAGCAAUUUUCUCCGAAUCCAAUCUAAGUCACCUCCAUUAG
rnacentral:lncRNA from 1 species